AAAGCAGGAUUUGGUGGCUGCUGUCUUCCACCACCAGAGCCAUCACCAGCACCAAGAGCAACACUCAUUUCCGUACAAUGCACAUAAUCAUGGUUAUUUACUUUUAGCUUGAUUUUAGAGCUUGAAGCUUCUCUCUGCCUACAUAUGUUUUAUGCAAGAGAUAAGCUCUCAUUAACUAAAUAUAACUUACAGUUCCAGAAAAGAUGCAUGUUUACCUCAACUGGAUAUUUAUUUUUAUUUUGAUUAGCAAGCGGGGUUGAGGGUACCCCUACCCCUUUAAAGUAUGUGACGAAACAUUUUAUCCUGAACUGGAUAUACUUUCGUGUAUGCUCAGAAUAAGCUUCCGACUUCAGAUGUUCAAUAUUCAGGUAUUUCUUCUUCUUGCAAAAUGGUUUAUCAAUUGCAACACAAAAGGAUUAAGGCCUUUUUGUCAUGUCUUCCCUUCUUAUUAUAGUCAGCUUUUCCAUCAUAUUUAUCAAUAUUCAGUGCAUUUGAGCUUGUUAGAUAAAUCUAUGGUCUACACAUCUCAUUAUCUUUUAUGUCUUUUUUUUGUAUUAAUUGUAGGAAGAUGAUGUACUUACGCAGAAGUCGGACCAUAUUUUCGUUCUCCCAUAUGCAGAUUAUACAUUUUGGGAGAGACAAGAAUUGCAUGAUAGUAUAUCUCAUCACCUGAGGAAACUGGAGAUGACAGGCUUCAAAGGAGAAUAGGAGAUAUACUGAAAAUGGCAUUUCUAAGGUAUAUGAUCAUGAAUGCUUGUGUGAUGGGACAAUGGAGACUACAUCGAGAUGAUUGAUGGAGACUACGUGGAGAGUAGAAGGAAUGGUUCAGCAAAUCAGAACUCGAUUUAAUGCAGCUUGAAGGUUAUGAGAUCAAGCAUACUUACAGAGAAAUCAAUCAGGUAGCUGACUACUUAGCCAACCUAGGUAGAUGCACUCAUC
rnacentral:lncRNA from 1 species